rnacentral:rRNA from 1 species
CCUACGGGAGGCUGCAGUGGGGAAUUUUGGACAAUGGGGGCAACCCUGAUCCAGCAAUGCCGCGUGAGUGAAGAAGGCCUUCGGGUUGUAAAGCUCUUUUGUCAGGGAAGAAACGGUGGAGGCCAAUACCCUUUGCUAAUGACGGUACCUGAAGAAUAAGCACCGGCUAACUACGUGCCAGCAGCCGCGGUAAUACGUAGGGUGCAAGCGUUAAUCGGAAUUACUGGGCGUAAAGCGUGCGCAGGCGGUUAUGUAAGUCAGAUGUGAAAUCCCCGGGCUCAACCUGGGAAUGGCAUUUGAGACUGCAUGGCUAGAGUGUGUCAGAGGGGGGUAGAAUUCCACGUGUAGCAGUGAAAUGCGUAGAUAUGUGGAGGAAUACCGAUGGCGAAGGCAGCCCCCUGGGAUAACACUGACGCUCAUGCACGAAAGCGUGGGGAGCAAACAGGAUUAGAUACCCUGGUAGUC